GGCGGACCUACCAACUGGAAAGAGUGAGCGUUUUACAGCAGAGGAGACGGAUCUCCUCGUGCGGGAGGUGAAGGCCCGUCAGAACCAGAUCUACGGGGACAGCAGACAGGCACCCAAGCUCCCCGAGGAAGACGUUGUGAAGUCUCCCCAGCAGUGGUCCCAGCAAAGGCCCCACACAGGCUGCCGAUGAGAACAAGAGCUGGUGCUUUAAAAGAAGCUUCACUACAACACGGCACACCUCCCUCAGAUUAUUGCUGGAGGACUCUCGGGUGAAGUUUGAAACCAAACCCACCUGAGAUAUGUUGCAUUACAGGCAACUGUUGGUAUACGGGCAAGCAAAGCUUAUAAAUCCAAACACAUCUUACUGCUGUUUGUUUCUGUAUUAAGUAAAUCUUAUACCAGCAUUAUAUCAUAUUGUUAUGAUCAUACUUGUUUUUACUGCUGAACAUUUGUCAAAGGAUGCAGUAUUGUUUUAAAUAUCUGAGGUGUGUUUUAUACCCUCCAGCCAAUGCUUUUCUUUUUAGCACACAAUGAAAAUCAACUUGCAGAGAUUUUAAACUUGCUUGACUUCAGUGAUCCAUCACAGUGAACAUCAUAUCUGCUUUUAUUGUCGUCAAAAACACAUCAUUUUUAUCAUGUGGUGAUAUAGUUCUAAGGGUAGAUUGAUUUGGAAAAUGUGCAUCAUGUUACCACGCAGUCAUAACAACGUUCUGACAGCAGGCAGUCGUGAUGUCUGCUGUGAAUGAUUACCGAACUCAAGCAAGUUUCUUUGCAAGUUAAUUUUUACAGUCCAUUUAAAUGAAGUGAAACCAGCCUGGAAGGUAAAUCAAUCUGAAAAGUUAUGUGAGAAAUGGAUGUUUUUUGAGAUUUGUAAUAAUUGGACUAAAGCAUCCAGAAACACUGCUCCUUAAAGGAGGAUUUUUUUUAAGUGGGGUUGUACAGGGUACUUAUCCAUUGUUGGUGUGUUACAUACAGUAAAUGUUAGUCAGCACGCCCCUAGUUUGGAGAAGCAGGCUGGAGUGCCGACAUGUGACUUAAGCAAUGUACUGCUGUGGAUGGGGUCAGCAACAAAACGUAUUUUAGCCACCUAAAAAAGUUUAAGUGUGCGCUAUAUUAAGAGUAAUUUCAGCACUUUACCUUUCCUUUAGAUAAUCUGUUACGACGGGGGAGCCGUUGACGGCUUCAGUUCCCAUUUAUGUUGUCGUCAAAGCCACCCGACUCCAAACAAUAAUUUUAGCUUCCUGAACACAGGAGCUGCUGGUCUAUUGCUGCUUCAGUCAGUUAGUUAGUUUGUGUUAUUGUGUGACUUUAAUGAAUCUUGAACUGAACACCAGAGUCACACAAUAACACAAGUACACUAACUGAUGGAGGCAGUGGUUCCUGUGUUCAACAAUAUUAAGUUUUUCUGAUUGGAGUCUGGCUUUGAAGAGAGUGAUAUAAUGGCUUCAUUUUCCAGUUGGAAAUCACUGUCUGACAUUAAGGUAAAUCAGUGAAAAUACUGUCAAUACAGUGUGCACUUUAACUGAUAUUGGUUAGUUUCCAUGUUGGGCUCCAGCCUGUUUGUCCAGUUGGGAGCACGCCGACUAGUGUGUGCUGGUGUUAUGUGCAAUACAUGAAUGGCUGAUGUGCAAUACUGUUAUGUUAAGUAUGUGGGGUUUUUGUUUGUUUGUUUGUUUGUGUUUAUGGUGUAUACUUUUCAUUUUCUCUGGACUAUAAUUGUAAGGCAGCAACACUUGUGCAGCUCCUGAGUCUAAGACGAAUUUCCCUACAGAGACAAUAAAGUAUACUGUAUCGUAUCAGUCGUGCCGUAUUGAAGCAUAUUGUACCCUACCCUACCAUACUGUCUAUGGAUCAGUACCCCAUACAACCCCACCUCAAAAAAGCUCAACUAUCCCUUUAAGUAGAAAACCUGAGCUCAAACACAUUUCUUAUCAUCAUCGAUUAAUGAAUUAAUUUAUGAUUAAGUAUGAUUUGUCUCUUACAAAAAAAACAGAACAUGUGAAAUUCAUGUUUUCAUGUGUUGAAAUUUUACACAUCAGAAAGUCUUGUAGAUAUUGAUGAAAAAUUGGACUGCAAAAGAACCAAUAAGUCCUUCAAUUUAUUGUGUGUACACUCAGGUCUGUACUAUUAACGGAUAAAAGUCAUUUUAGGAUGGAUUUAACAUAAUGUAAUGAAAUGAAAUGAAAACGAGAUAUUACUCUUAAAAUAUGGUAAAAACUGCAUGUGCUUAUGAGAAUUAAUUACAGGACAAAUACUGUUUUACACAUUAUAAAAUGUGUUUUUUUUUCCCCCCCAUGAAAUCAGAUAUCAGACUGACCAUUUGCACUACAUCUUUAGACAUUAGAUUUUACCCUUAGUGGAUUUUUUUUUUUUUUUUUUACUUUUUAAAAAAUCUGAAUGGCAGCCACCUUUGUCACCCAUAUGAAGAUCUGUCACUGGGUUCUUUGCAAACAAGAGUUCAUGUGUCAAAUGUAAUUGUAUUUUAACAAAAUGUCAUGAAAUGUAGUAUUUCACAUAGAAAAAUGAAUUCAUUGCACCACAGAUGUUGUUUUACACGUCAUGAACUGUGUUUCUAAUUGAAUACUUUCCUAUGAAAUGCAACAAAUAUCAAGCAAAACUUAUUUUACAUGAUAUAGGUACAUGUGAUUUUCAGAUUUCAUGUAUAAACAACAUCAUAUCUAAAGGGUUAUUUUUUUUUACAUGAAAUCUGAAUAUUACAUUUAGGCCUACCUAUAACGUAGUGUGGUGUUUGCAGUGCCGGACCUCGCACAUUCAGCACGCUGGGCAAGCUUCAAUCUUUGUCUUAUUCUCCUUUUGUUGUUGUUGUUGUUUGUACUGUUUGCACAUACACGCCAUUACAACAUACCCAUCAAUGCAAAAUAAAUAUAUAAAAUAAAAAUUAAUCAAAGGGGAAAAUAAAAUUACAAAUAAAAAUUAUAUAGGUUCAGGCAUAAUUAGACUCAUAACAGGUCUCCAUUGUUUAUCGAAUGUGACUUUCUACAAGUGUAAAUAAUGAGUGAUCUUUUCCAUACAGUACAAUUCCUGUAAUUUUUGUAACCAGAUUGCAGUAGAAGGGGGUCUGGAUCCAGUUUUACACAUUAUGAACUGUGUUUCACUGUUUUAUAAACAGCCUCACAUGUAGCUGUUGUUUUCAGUUUUGAAAUCUAAAAAUCACAUGUACUUAAAACAUGAUAUUAUGAUAUAACAAGACAUGAUAUUAUUACAUUUACAAUGUUAUUGUACUGUACUGUAACUAAUUACUUUCAAAUGAAGGUAACCAGUAAUAUGUAACAUAUUAUAUUUUGAGAGUAACUUGCCCAACACUGGGUAUGGUGUAUGUGAAAUACUUGCGGUUACUAUUUUAAGUGUCUAUAGUGUUUAUCGACUUUUACUUUGUUUUCAUUCAUUUUUAAUAUAUCGGAUGCUCCUGUAUCAUACACCAGUCUGGUUUUAAUGUCACUGUACAACACUUCAGUUUCCCUGUGUUAUUGUAUCUUAUAAUAUACCACAUGUACUAUUCUGAGGGUUUUUCACAUGUGAAUACAUGCAAUACAUUUACAUAUUAAAAACAUGUUUAUAUGUCUAAAGAAACCUAAUUAAUCGAUAAGUAAGAAGAUGAAUAUUUCCAAUAACUUUUCUUUAAGA